ensembl:lncRNA
CAAACAGAGCAACACUAAACAAAGACAAAAUAGACACAGCUGCCAGGGCAGAACCCUGACACAGCAUGUUUGAAAGCACAGAUGAAAAGAUUUGUCAUAAAAUAACAAUAGCAUUAGCCACAAUGCUAACGGCAUUGCUAAUUAAGCCAAGAAGUGCUGUCGCUACCAUUUUAGUGAGUUAAUAUGCAACCUGUUUCUUGCUGAUUGUGAUGUUACUGAGAAUACAGCUAUUAGAAGGUUCACCCAGGUCUGUGGGCCAGGACAAGUCAACUAGUCUUACACCCAGGUCUGCGGGCCGCGACAGGUCAACUAGUCGAACAGCCAGGUCUGUGGGCCAUGACAGGUCAACUAGUGGUUUGUCCAGGUCCGUGGGCCGGGACGAUUCAAGUAGUUGUUCAUCCAGGACCAUGGGCCAGGACAGUUCAAUUAGUGGUGUACCCAGGUCCCAGGCUGUGGAGAGCAGGUCCAUAGAUGAAUUCCAGAAAAUAGUGCUAACAAAGCUGGUGACUCUCACUGAUGAGGUCAAAAAAUUCCAGAGGAGCCUACCUAACUCUCGGAUUGAGAUAAGCAAGAUUGACACCUUGGAAGAGUUCGAGAAGGAGGAGGCUUCUCUUCUGGAGAAAAACAAAUUUGAAACCUUGGUUUGUCAGCUGGCAAGAGUGGGGGGGAAGAUGUAAAGGGCUGCACGCACAAAGUGCUCGACAGGCUCUUCACCAAUCAGCUGAUGGCCCUAUUUAAUAUGAGGGGA